rnacentral:rRNA from 1 species
UACAGAGGUCUCAAGCGUUGUUCGGAUUCAUUGGGCGUAAAGGGUGCGUAGGUGGCGCGGUAAGUCGGGUGUGAAAUUUCGGAGCUUAACUCCGAAACUGCAUUCGAUACUGCCGAGCUUGAGGACUGGAGAGGAGACUGGAAUUUACGGUGUAGCAGUGAAAUGCGUAGAUAUCGUAAGGAAGACCAGUGGCGAAGGCGGGUCUCUGGACAGUUCCUGACACUGAGGCACGAAGGCCAGGGGGAGCAAACGGG